AAGUCGUAACAAGGUUUCCGUAGGUGAACCUGCGGAAGGAUCAUUACUGAAUAACUAAAUCUUUAGUUUUUCAUACCCCAUUGUUGACUCUCCCAUGUUGCUUCCACGUGGCCUGGCUUCUUUUAGCCCUUUGGCUUGCUGUGUAACAUCAGCUUGACAGGGAGUUGCCCGUGGUAAGACCACAAAAUUAAACUUGAAUAAUAAUACUUUGUCUGAAAUUCAUUGCAAAUGAAAUAAAACUUUCAACAACGGAUCUCUAGGCUCUU
rnacentral:misc_RNA from 1 species